rnacentral:rRNA from 1 species
GACGAACGCUGGCGGCGUGCUUAACACAUGCAAGUCGAACGGAAAGGCCUCUUUCGGGGGGUACUCGAGUGGCGAACGGGUGAGUAACACGUGAGUAACCUGCCCUUUACUUUGGGAUAACUUCAGGAAACUGGGGCUAAUACCGGAUAGGAGCUCCUGCUGCAUGGUGGGGGUUGGAAAGUUUCGGCGGUUGGGGGUGGACUGGCGGCUUAUCAGCUUGUUGGUGGGGUAGUGGCUUACCAAGGCGUUGACGGGUAGCCGGCCUGAGAGGGUGACCGGCCACAUUGGGACUGAGAGACGGCCCAGACGCCUACGGGAGGCAGCAGUGGGGAAGAUUGCACAAGGGGUGGAAGCCUGAUGCAGCAACGCCGUGGGCGGGAGGACGGCCUUCGGGUUGUAAACCGCUUUCGCUCAUGACGAAGCUUUGUGUGACGGUAGUGGGUAAAGAAGCACCGGCUAACUACGUG